rnacentral:rRNA from 1 species
UGGGGAAUAUUGCACAAUGGGCGCAAGCCUGAUGCAGCCAUGCCGCGUGUGUGAAGAAGGCCUUCGGGUUGUAAAGCACUUUCAGCGAGGAGGAAGGGUAGUGUGUUAAUAGCACAUUGCAUUGUCGUUACUCGCAGAAGAAGCACCGGCUAACUCCGUGCCAGCAGCCGCGGUAAUACGGAGGGUGCAAGCGUUAAUCGGAAUUACUGGGCGUAAAGCGCACGCAGGCGGUUUGUUAAGUCAGAUGUGAAAUCCCCGCGCUUAACGUGGGAACUGCAUUUGAAACUGGCAAGCUAGAGUCUUGUAGAGGGGGGUAGAAUUCCAGGUGUAGCGGUGAAAUGCGUAGAGAUCUGAAGGAAUACCGGUGGCGAAGGCGGCCCCCUGGACAAAGACUGACGCUCAGGUGCGAAAGCGUGGGGAGCAAACA